rnacentral:rRNA from 1 species
UACGAAGGGGGCGAGCGUUGUUCGGAAUUACUGGGCGUAAAGGGCGCGCAGGCGGCUCUGCAAGUCAGAUGCGAAAGCCCCGGGCUUAACCUGGGAAUUGCAUUUGAUACUCUGGAGCUUGAGUACGGGAGAGGAGAGUGGAAUUCCCAGUGUAGAGGUGAAAUUCGUAGAUAUUGGGAAGAACACCGGUGGCGAAGGCGGCUCUCUGGACCGUAACUGACGCUGAGGCGCGAAAGCGUGGGGAGCAAACAGG